rnacentral:lncRNA from 1 species
CAAAACUUUAUGAAAAUAUAAUUUUUUUUUGCCUGUGAUUUAACUUUAAGCAUGAUUUAUCAUUUUCUAUAUUUGUAGUAAAUUUUUGAAUAAGACGAAUAGUCAAGUGUUAAAAAAGUCAAACAUCUUGUAUUAUGAAAUGGGGUAAUGAAAUGGGGGUAGUAGUAUGCUACAUCGUUCUUACUUUUUUUCUUUGCUCUGGAUGCAUGUGGCAUUGUGGCUGUCGCAAAUGGUGGAUGGUAUAUUGUGCUGUCAUAUAGCAAACUAGCAAAUUUGUUGUUUGUCUGUAUUUUGAAUUGCAAAAAUAUGUCACCCUGUCAUAUGUGUGCCUCUAUUUAUGUGAAAUAAC